GGCUCGUUGGUCUAGGGUAUGAUUCUCGCAUAGGGUGCGAGAGGUCCUGGGUUCAAAUCCCGGACGAGCCC
rnacentral:tRNA from 1 species